AGAGUUUGAUCAUGGCUCAGGAUGAACGCUGGCGGCGUGCCUAACACAUGCAAGUCGAGCGAGACGGUUGUGAUUGAUCCUUCGGGUGAUUUCAUAACUAGACAGCGGCGGACGGGUGAGUAACGCGUGGGUAACCUGCCUUGUACUGGGGGAUAACGUUUUGAAAAGAACGCUAAUACCGCAUAAGCUUACAGAUUCGCAUGAAUCAGUGAGAAAAACUCCGGUGGUACAAGAUGGACCCGCGUCUGAUUAGCUAGUUGGUGAGAUAAAAGCUCACCAAGGCGACGAUCAGUAGCCGACCUGAGAGGGUGAUCGGCCACAUUGGGACUGAGACACGGCCCAAACUCCUACGGGAGGCAGCAGUGGGGAAUAUUGCACAAUGGGGGAAACCCUGAUGCAGCGACGCCGCGUGAAGGAUGAAGGUUUUCGGAUCGUAAACUUCUAUCAGCAGGGAAGAUAGUGACUGUACCUGACUAAGAAGUCCCGGCUAACUACGUGCCAGCAGCCGCGGUAAUACGUAGGGGGCAAGCGUUAUCCGGAAUUACUGGGUGUAAAGGGUGCGUGGGUGGUUGCUUAAGUCAGAUGUGAAAGCCCGGAGCUCAACUCCGGGACUGCAUUUGAAACUGGGCAACUAGAAUACAGGAGAGGUAAGUGGAAUUCCUAGUGUAGCGGUGAAAUGCGUAGAUAUUAGGAGGAACACC
rnacentral:rRNA from 1 species